GAAAUGUGAAGCAUAUAUAAAUAUUGUCUCCGAAUUACACAUCUAUUUUCGACGAUUUUUCUCCUUCAUUUGUUGAAUACUUGAGAUUGGCUAGACAGGGAGUAUUUAAUGGACUUAAUGCAUUAUAUGGCGCGCGAAAUAUUGGCUUCGUAUUACAUUUAAGGAUGAUUUUAAGUGAUUUUUCCCGAGCGUUGCUGACUUGCUGUUCGCAGUGUGAUGCAUUUAUAUAAACUGACUUGAAGCAAUUUGAUUCCUACGACGUUUGGGGAUAACCCGUUUCAAACUAUGGAUUUUUAACUUGGAAUUUUCAAGAUAUGUUGACGGAAAGUUUCCAUUUGAUAUAGGUGAAUAUAGUUGAUAAAACAGCGCUAAUUUUAGUGAUAAAUAUGUUUUAUUUUGUAAUGAAAUGUACACAUUUUGGCACGUGGAUACUGUG